GACGAACGCUGGCGGCGUGCUUAACACAUGCCAGUCGAACGCAGUGGCGAACGGGUGAGUAACGCGUAAUCAACCUGCCCUUCAGAGGGUGACAACAGUUGGAAACGACUGCUAAUACCGCAUAAUGAAGGAGGAGAUUGCGUCUGAUUAGAUAGUUGGAGGGGGUACGACCCACCAAGGCGAUGAUCAGUAGCGGGUCUGAGAGGAGGAACGGCAACAUUGGGAUUGAGACACGGCCCAGACGCCUACGGGAGGCAGCAGUGGGGAAUAUUCCGCAAGGGAUGAAAGUCUGACGGAGCAACGCCGCGUGAGUGAUGACGGCCUUCGGGUUGUAAAGCUCUGUUAAUCGGGACGCGGGACCGGAAUAGAAAGCCACGGCUAACUACGUGCCAGCAGCCGCGGUAAUAC
rnacentral:rRNA from 1 species